rnacentral:rRNA from 1 species
UUGAAGAGUUUGAUCAUGGCUCAGAUUGAACGCUGGCGGCAGGCCUAACACAUGCAAGUCGAGCGGUAGCACAGAGAGCUUGCUCUCGGGUGACGAGCGGCGGACGGGUGAGUAAUGUCUGGGAAACUGCCUGAUGGAGGGGGAUAACUACUGGAAACGGUAGCUAAUACCGCAUAAUGUCGCAAGACCAAAGUGGGGGACCUUCGGGCCUCAUGCCAUCAGAUGUGCCCAGAUGGGAUUAGCUAGUAGGUGGGGUAACGGCUCACCUAGGCGACGAUCCUAGCUGGUCUGAGAGGAUGACCAGCCACACUGGAACUGAGACACGGUCCAGACUCCUACGGGAGGCAGCAGUGGGGAAUAUUGCACAAUGGGCGCAAGCCUGAUGCAGCCAUGCCGCGUGUGUGAAGAAGGCCUUCGGGUUGUAAAGCACUUUCAGCGGGGAGGAAGGCGAUAAGGUUAAUAACCUCAUCGAUUGACGUUACCCGCAGAAGAAGCACCGGCUAACUCCGUGCCAGCAGCCGCGGUAAUACGGAGGGUGCAAGCGUUAAUCGGAAUUACUGGGCGUAAAGCGCACGCAGGCGGUCUGUCAAGUCGGAUGUGAAAUCCCCGGGCUCAACCUGGGAACUGCAUUCGAAACUGGCAGGCUAGAGUCUUGUAGAGGGGGGUAGAAUUCCAGGUGUAGCGGUGAAAUGCGUAGAGAUCUGGAGGAAUACCGGUGGCGAAGGCGGCCCCCUGGACAAAGACUGACGCUCAGGUGCGAAAGCGUGGGGAGCAAACAGGAUUAGAUACCGGUAGUCCACGCCGUAAACGAUGUCGAUUUGGAGGUUGUGCCCUUGAGGCGUGGCUUCCGGAGCUAACGCGUUAAAUCGACCGCGGGAGUACGGCCGCAAGGUUAAAACUCAAAUGAAUUGACGGGGGCCCGCACAAGCGGUGGAGCAUGUGGUUUAAUUCGAUGCAACGCGAAGAACCUUACCUGGUCUUGACAUCCACAGAACUUAGCAGAGAUGCUUUGGUGCCUUCGGGAACUGUGAGACAGGUGCUGCAUGGCUGUCGUCAGCUCGUGUUGUGAAAUGUUGGGUUAAGUCCCGCAACGAGCGCAACCCUUAUCCUUUGUUGCCAGCGGUUCGGCCGGGAACUCAAAGGAGACUGCCAGUGAUAAACUGGAGGAAGGUGGGGAUGACGUCAAGUCAUCAUGGCCCUUACGACCGGGCUACACGUGCUACAAUGGCAUAUACAAAGAGAAGCGACCUCGCGAGAGCAAGCGGACCUCAUAAAGUAUGUCGUAGUCCGGAUUGGAGUCUGCAACUCGACUCCAUGAAGUCGGAAUCGCUAGUAAUCGUAGAUCAGAAUGCUACGGUGAAUACGUUCCCGGGCCUUGUACACACCGCCCGUCACACCAUGGGAGUGGGUUGCAAAAGAAGUAGGUAGCUUAACCUUCGGGAGGGCGCUUACCACUUUGUGAUUCAUGACUGGGGUGAAGUCGUAACAAGGUAACCGUAGGGGAACCUGCGGUUGGAUCACCUCCUU